AACGAACGCUGGCGGCGCGCCUAAUACAUGCAAGUCGAGCGAGAAGACGUAGCAAUACGUUUGUAAAGCGGCGAACGGGUGAGGAAUACAUGGGUAACCUACCCUCGAGUGGGGAAUAACUAGCCGAAAGGUUAGCUAAUACCGCGUACGCUCCUUGGACUUCGGUUCAGGGAGGAAAGCGAUACCGUGGGUAUCGCGCUCUUGGAUGGGCUCAUGUCCUAUCAGCUUGUUGGUGAGGAACGGCUCACCAAGGCUUCGACGGGUAGCUGGUCUGAGAGGAUGGCCAGCCACAUUGGGACUGAGAUACGGCCCAGACUCCUACGGGAGGCAGCAGUGGGGAAUCUUGCGCAAUGGGCGAAAGCCUGACGCAGCGACGCCGCGUGAGGGAUGACGGCCUGGUGUAAC
rnacentral:rRNA from 1 species